rnacentral:rRNA from 1 species
CAAGUCGACGGACCCUUCGGGGUUAGUGGCGGACGGGUGAGUAACACGUGGGAACGUGCCUUUAGGUUCGGAAUAGCUCCUGGAAACGGGUGGUAAUGCCGAAUGUGCCCUUCGGGGGAAAGAUUUAUCGCCUUUAGAGCGGCCCGCGUCUGAUUAGCUAGUUGGUGGGGUAAUGGCCCACCAAGGCUACGAUCAGUAGCUGGUCUGAGAGGAUGACCAGCCACAUUGGGACUGAGACACGGCCCAAACUCCUACGGGAGGCAGCAGUGGGGAAUCUUGCGCAAUGGGCGAAAGCCUGACGCAGCCAUGCCGCGUGUAUGAUGAAGGUCUUAGGAUUGUAAAAUACUUUCACCGGUGAAGAUAAUGACUGUAGCCGGAGAAGAAGCCCCGGCUAACUUCGUGCCAGCAGCCGCGGUAAUACGAAGGGGGCUAGCGUUGCUCGGAAUUACUGGGCGUAAAGGGAGCGUAGGCGGACAUUUAAGUCAGAGGUGAAAUCCCGGAGCUUAACUUCGGAACUGCCUUUGAUACUGGAUGUCUUGAGUGUGAGAGAGGUAUGUGGAACUCCGAGUGUAGAGGUGAAAUUCGUAGAUAUUCGGAAGAACACCAGUGGCGAAGGCGACAUACUGGCUCAUUACUGACGCUGAGGCUCGAAAGCGUGGGGAGCAAACAGGAUUAGAUACCCUGGUAGUCCACGCCGUAAACGAUGAUUGCUAGUUGUCGGGAAGCUUGCUUCUCGGUGACGCAGCUAACGCAUUAAGCAAUCCGCCUGGGGAGUACGGUCGCAAGAUUAAAACUCAAAGGAAUUGACGG